rnacentral:tRNA from 1 species
GCGGGGGUUGCCAAGUCUGGUCAAACAAGCCCUUUUCCACCUCGCUUGACGGGAAAUGAGAAAAGGGUCAAUGGAGAAAUGCAAUUUCUCCUUGCUGGGUCAAAGGCGCAAGGUUGAGGGCCUUGUCUCGUAGGAGUUCGCGAGUUCGAAUCUCGUCCCCCGCA